rnacentral:rRNA from 1 species
UACGUAGGGGCUAGCGUUGUCCGGAAUCAUUGGGCGUAAAGAGCGUGUAGGCGGCUUGGUAAGUCCGCUGUGAAAGUCCAGGGCUCAACCCUGGAAAGCCAGUGGAAACUGUCAAGCUAGAGUCCGGAAGAGGCGAGUGGAACUCCUGGUGUAGCGGUGAAAUGCGCAGAUAUCGGGAGGAACACCUGUGGCGAAAGCGGCUCACUGGACCACACUGACGCUGAUGCACGAAGCUAGGGGAGCAAA